rnacentral:rRNA from 1 species
UACGAAGGGGGCUAGCGUUGCUCGGAAUCACUGGGCGUAAAGGGCGCGUAGGCGGUUCGUACAGUCAGACGUGAAAUUCCUGGGCUCAACCUGGGGGCUGCGUUUGAUACGUGCGGACUUGAGUGCGGAAGAGGGUCGUGGAAUUCCCAGUGUAGAGGUGAAAUUCGUAGAUAUUCGGAAGAACACCAGUGGCGAAGGCGGCUCACUGGCCCGGUACUGACGCUCAUGUGCGAAAGCGUGGGGAGCAAACAGG